CGAGAGCUCCAAGUGGGCC
rnacentral:snRNA from 1 species